CCUACGGGAGGCAGCAGUCGAGAAUCAUUCACAAUGGGGGAAACCCUGAUGGUGCGACGCCGCGUGGAGGAAUGAAGGUCUUCGGAUUGUAAACCCCUGUCAUGUGGGAGCAAAUUAAAAAGAUAGUACCACAAGAGGAAGAGACGGCUAACUCUGUGCCAGGCGCCGCGGUAAUACAGAGGUCUCAAGCGUUGUUCGGAAUCGCUGGGCGUAAAGCGUGCGUAGGCUGUUUCGUAAGUCGUGUGUGAAAGUCGCGGGCUCAACCCGCGGACGGCUCAUGAUACUGCGAGACUAGAGUAAUGGAGGGGGAAGCGGAAUUCCAUGUGUAGCAGUGAAAUGCGUAGAUAUCGGGAGGAACACUAGUGGCGAAGGCGGGUUCCUGGACAUUAACUGACGCUGAGGCACGAAGGCCAGGGGAGCGAAAGGGAUUAGAUACCCGGGUAGUC
rnacentral:rRNA from 1 species